rnacentral:rRNA from 1 species
GUGUCCCUACGGGACGCAGCAGUGAGGAAUAUUGGUCAAUGGGCUUACGCCUAAACCAGCCAAGUCGCGUGAGGGAAGACUGCCCUAUGGGUUGUAAACCUCUUUUGUCAGGGAGCAAUUGGCGCUACGUGUAGCGUUAUCGAGAGUACCUGAAGAAAAAGCAUCGGCUAACUCCGUGCCAGCAGCCGCGGUAAUACGGAGGAUGCGAGCGUUAUCCGGAUUUAUUGGGUUUAAAGGGUGCGCAGGCGGGAGAUCAAGUCAGCGGUAAAA